UUUCACUUGCCAGUUGUUGCUCCUUCGCCCUCUCUCUCUCUCUCUCUCUCUCUCGCUCUGUGUGUUGCUGUCUCAGCUGGUUGCAUGCAAAGUUCAAUCAAAAUAAAUCAGUUGCCUAGAACAUUACAGACUUCCAGUGGCACACACACACAGAGAGCGAGAGAGAGAGAGAGAGAGGGAGGAGCGACAGAGUAACAAUGG
rnacentral:miRNA from 1 species